UGACCUCGGAUCAGGUAGGGAUACCCGCUGAACUUAAGCAUAUCAAUAAGCGGAGGAAAAGAAACCAACAGGGAUUGCCCCAGUAACGGCGAGUGAAGCGGCAAGAGCUCAAAUUUGAAAGCUGGCUCCUUCGGGGUCCGCAUUGUAAUUUGCAGAGGAUGCUUCGGGAGCGGUCCCCAUCUAAGUGCCCUGGAACGGGACGUCAUAGAGGGUGAGAAUCCCGUAUGGGAUGGGGUGUCCGCGCCCGUGUGAAGCUCCUUCGACGAGUCGAGUUGUUUGGGAAUGCAGCUCUAAAUGGGUGGUAAAUUUCAUCUAAAGCUAAAUAUUGGCCGGAGACCGAUAGCGCACAAGUAGAGUGAUCGAAAGAUGAAAAGCACUUUGAAAAGAGAGUUAAAAAGCACGUGAAAUUGUUGAAAGGGAAGCGCUUGCGACCAGACUCGCUCGCGGGGUUCAGCCGGCAUUCGUGCCGGUGUAUUUCCCCGCGGGCGGGCCAGCGUCGGUUUGGGCGGUCGGUCAAAGGCCCUCGGAAGGUAACGCCCCCAGGGGCGUCUUAUAGCCGAGGGUGCAAUGCGACCUGCCUAGACCGAGGAACGCGCUUCGGCUCGGACGCUGGCAUAAUGGUCGUAAGCGACC
rnacentral:rRNA from 1 species